rnacentral:lncRNA from 1 species
AGCAGAUUCUGUUCCAAGCUGAAACAUCUGGAUCUGACCUCCUGUGUGUCUAUUACAAACAGCUCCUUGAAGGGGAUCAGGUAAGAGUGCCCAUUGUUUGUGUCAAGAGAAAUACCCAAAGCUAUGAACAUUCUGGAAACCUUCUUAAUGGUCACGUUGGAUCCAGCAAGAAAUAGGUGACUCCAAGAGGUCCCAGGCAUGGUCUCCCCUUCGGAAUUUCUUGUGAUGUACUAAACUCAGAGUUGGUCAUUAACUCUCUACAGGAGAGACUGCACAUAAGUUUUUGUUUCUUGUUCUCUCAGUGAGGGCUGCCGAAACCUGGAGUACCUGAACCUCUCUUGGUGUGAUCAGAUCACGAAGGAUGGCAUCGAGGCACUGGUGCGAGGUUGUCGAGGCCUGAAAGCCCUGCUCCUGAGGGGCUGCACACAGUUAGAAGAUGAAGCUCUGAAACACAUUCAGAAUUACUGCCAUGAGCUUGUGAGCCUCAACUUGCAGUCCUGCUCACGUAUCACGGAUGAAGGUGUGGUGCAGAUAUGCAGGGGCUGUCACCGGCUACAGGCUCUCUGCCUUUCGGGUUGCAGCAACCUCACAGAUGCCUCUCUUACAGCCCUGGGUUUGAACUGUCCGCGACUGCAAAUUUUGGAGGCUGCCCGAUGCUCCCAUUUGACUGACGCAGGUUUUACACUUUUAGCUCGGAAUUGCCACGAAUUGGAGAAGAUGGAUCUUGAAGAAUGCAUCCUGAUAACCGACAGCACACUCAUCCAGCUCUCCAUUCACUGUCCUAAACUGCAAGCCCUGGUGAGUCUGAGUUUUUCUGACAUUAUUCACCUGUUAAAGAUGAAAGAGCCCUCCCACCACAACAAGAAGCUGUUUGGGUUCUCUUUCUGUAAGGUAUCAUCUCUCUUGAUUUCAAAAAUCUAUUAAUUGGGCUAACUUG